rnacentral:tRNA from 1 species
AGCGGGAUAGAGGAAAGGUACCUCGUCAGGCUCAUAACCUGAAGGUGUUGGUUCGACUCCAGCUCCCGCUA